UACGUAGGGGUGCAAGCGUUUAAUCGGAAUUACUGGGCGUAAAGCGUGCGCAGGCGGUUUUGUAAGUCUGUCGUGAAAGCCCCGGGCUCAACCUGGGAAUUGCGAUGGAGACUGCAAGGCUUGAAUCUGGCAGAGGGGGGUAGAAUUCCACGUGUAGCAGUGAAAUGCGUAGAGAUGUGGAGGAACACCGAUGGCGAAGGCAGCCCCCCUGGGUCAAGAUUGACGCUCAUGCACGAAAGCGUGGGGGAGCAAACAGG
rnacentral:rRNA from 1 species